GACGUCGAAUAUCGACGUCAUAAACACCAAAGUUGUUCGUGUUUAUUACGUCGAAUAUCGACGUCAUAAACACCAAAGUUGAUCGUGUUUAUGACGUCGAAUAUCGACGUCAUAAAUACCAAAGUUGAUCGUGUUUAUUACGUCGAAUAUCGACGUCAUAAACACCAAAGUUGAUCGUGUUUAGUACGUCGAAUAUCGACGUCAUAAACACCAAAGGUGAUCGUGUUUAUUAAGUCGAAUAUCGACGUC
rnacentral:miRNA from 1 species